GGCCAUGACCUCUAGUUUCAGGGCACAUGGGGUGAAAUCCUAGCUAUACUGAAGCCAGAGGGGCCCAGACUGGUUUUCUCCUCACAUUCUCGAGUCCUUCGGGCUUUGCAGCUGUGCUGCUAAAGGUGACAUGGCUGCAGAAUCCAAAGGUGCAGAGGCAGCACAAGCUAUCCAAAUUGGCUACUUUCCCGACAAGAAGUAAUGACUACAGGAAUGGGAGCAGUGCUCGUGCUUUAACCACCAGGAGUUGUAGC
rnacentral:lncRNA from 1 species